AAAGAAUUAGUUAAAUAUAUAACUUUAGUACGUCAAACUAAAAUCAUUAUUAUAAAAAUAAUAUUCUUUU
rnacentral:tRNA from 1 species